AACGAACGCUGGCGGCAUGCCUAACACAUGCAAGUCGAACGAAGCCUUCGGGCUUAGUGGCGCACGGGUGCGUAACGCGUGGGAAUCUGCCUCUUGCUUCGGAAUAACAGUUAGAAAUGACUGCUAAUACCGGAUGAUGUCUUCGGACCAAAGAUUCAUCGGCAAGAGAUGAGCCCGCGUAGGAUUAGGUAGUUGGUGGGGUAAAGGCCUACCAAGCCGACGAUCCUUAGCUGGUCUGAGAGGAUGAUCAGCCACACUGGGACUGAGACACGGCCCAGACUCCUACGGGAGGCAGCAGUGGGGAAUAUUGGACAAUGGGGGCAACCCUGAUCCAGCAAUGCCGCGUGAGUGAUGAAGGCCUUAGGGUUGUAAAGCUCUUUUACCAGGGAUGAUAAUGACAGUACCUGGAGAAUAAGCUCCGGCUAACUCCGUGCCAGCCGCCGCCGUAAUAC
rnacentral:rRNA from 1 species